GUCCACGCCGUAAACGAUGAGUGCUAGGUGCUGCGGGUAUUGACCCCUGCGGUGCCGUAGCUAACGCGUUAAGCACUCCGCCUGGGGAGUACGGCCGCAAGGCUAAAACUCAAAGGAAUUGACGGGGGCCCGCACAAGCGGUGGAGCAUGUGGUUCAAUUCGACGCAACGCGCAGAACCUUACCUGGGUUAAAUCCACUCGAACUUGGCAGAGAUGCCUUGGUGCCUUUCGGGGAGCGAGUGAGAAGGUGCUGCAUGGCUGUCGU
rnacentral:rRNA from 1 species